rnacentral:lncRNA from 1 species
UCCUCUUCCUUGGCACUUAAAACACUUAACAUCUCUUGAUCUUGUAGUAGAGGCUUCAGCUUUCCCUUUAUCCUUGCUGAGGGAACUAGUAGGUUUGUCCUCAUCCUUUUGAUAUGACUUGCUCUCUUUCUGGUGACUUGGCUUAUCUUCUUUAGCACCUUGAUAUCUAGUUCCAUAGUUGCCUCGAGAGUGACCUUUUCUCUUUACUUGUUGUUCCACUAGAAUGGCUUUGUGUAGCAUCUCCUCCAUCUCCAAGUAGUGUUGCAUCUCCACACUGUCUUGUAUCUCACGGUUGAGUCCUCCAAGAAACCGUGCCAUAGUAGCUUCUCUAUCCUCAGAUAUGCAAGCUCUUAACAUCAACAACUCCAUCUCCUGAUAGUAUUCUUCGACUGUCCGUGAGCCUUGCGUGAGUUUUCUUAGCUUCUGAUGGAGAUCCCGGUGGUAAUGGCUAGGCACAAAUCUCUUGCGCAUGAGAGCCUUCAUUUCUGCCCAAGUCUCAACAGGAAAUUCCCCAUUGCGCCUUCUAUUGGUGACUAGUUGAUCCCACCAACUCAAAGCAUAAUCAUAGAACUCAGUAACAGCAAUUUGAAUCUUCUUAGCUUCUGAAUAACGCCGACAAUUGAAGACUAGAUCAAUCUUCUUCUCCCAUUCUAGAUAAGCAUCAGGAUCGGCUUUGCCAUGGAAAGGAGGUAUCUUGAUCUUAACUCCAGCAAGCUCAUCUCUUUGAUACCUACGCCCUUCAUGGUCACGUCUAGAUCUUCUACUGCUGUGUCUAGAGGAAGAGCUAUGUCUAGAAGCCGAGCUGUGCCGUGCCCUAUCUCUUUCAUAAAAGUUAUCAGUUUCUUGUGAACCAGCAUGCUCUUGUCGUUCACGUCCAUUCCUCCUAGGUGCUUGCUGAUGAUCAGUCGUUUGGUCUUGUCUACCAGGGGCUCUCUGAUCGUAUCUCUCAUCCAGCAACUUUACCAAGUCUUCCAUUACUUGUUUGGUGAUAGCUUCUUGUAGGAGUUUGUUUCUUCUCAUAUACGUUGCAUCAUCUUCUUCAGUUCCCAUUGUUUUCUGUUACACACAAAAGACUGAAACAAGUAAGUAGUUCCACGGGCAAUUUGAUUUAUGAUUCGAGAUUCAAUGAAAGAAACAAUCGGAAACAAUCAAACAAAUCUCAAGCAACGCGGCAAAUCAAUACCGUGAUCAACAAGUAAGGAAUUCAAAUCGAUUUUAUUGACACAAUCAACUCAGAUUUAUCAGAAAAGGAUUCGAGAUUCAACAGGUGAUGAUUUGAGAUUAAACAAAACUUGAUCUACGGUUCUAGUAACAGAUCGAAUCACACGAACACAAGGAACUUUCGGAUCAAGCAAUCUAGUAACGUAAUCGACAAGAAUGUGAAAAGUUUUGUUCAAAACUUGAUCAGAAUCCUCAGAUCUAUCAAUAUUGAACCAUGAAACAAUAGAUCUAUCAAUCCUAUCAAUGAUACUAAUCAGAUCGAGUGAGAAACAACACGCAAAUCCCAAAUGAUCAAUGAUAUAAAACGAUAAAGAGUAGAUCUUAUGAACAAACAAAAGAGAAAUCGAAACUCCCCUUCCAGAGUGCUCUGAUACCACUUGAUGAACUCCUAGGAUGCGUCUCUGGAUGGAUCGGGAUAGAUCCUUGCAUAAACGAGUCAAGGACUCAAGCUUAUCAAGGUUUGUGGAUCGAUUGGUGACACAAGAGGCUGCGGAAAGGCUCCUUGAUACUCCUAGGCUAUAGAUCGGAUAUGACACACCAAACUAAGGCCCUUAACACUGGAUACUACACACCAGUAGACUGGAUAUUACACACCAGACACUUCAACAACUCGCAAAGCAAGAGAGAAGACACCAAAAAGGUUUUAAACAAAAGAUAACUUAGAUUAGAAUGAGGGUUUGUGAUACACUUAAAUAGAGAGAUCCUUGUACAUGCACAAGGUCUCGAAAACAUAAGAAAACAUAAAGGAAAAGGCUCCACACGGUUUCAAAGUAAUAACAUAACACUUAGAGUAAAACAUAAUAUAAGAUAGAUGAUGAAGUCGGUCCAAGGUGCCUUAGGCCGAGUUGCAUCCAAGAUACAUCAACUAGGAAUGUGUAAGUGAACUUGAUACCUCAUUAAAAACCUUGAUUAGAAAACCCAUUGGGACAAAACUAAUCAAGGGAAAAAGAGUAUACCAAGCCACUUGCCUAGAUGAUGAUCAGCUUGAUGAUAAGAUCACCUGAAUGGUGAUGAGUGUGUCUUGGUGGCUCAAGCUUCUACCAAGACAGUCUUCUUGCUCCUUAGAAAUCUUCAGUAUGUUUCCAACAGCUUACUUGAGUCUUCUUGUCAUUGCACGAGUUAUGGGACCUGUGGGAAUGGCUAGGACAUCUUCUUCUUCAGCUAGUGUAUCUUUUGUCUCUCCUUCUCCAUCUUUAUCAACUAGCUGGUCCAUGAUCAUAUCACACCAUCUCUGCCUUCUUUUUGCCAUCAAAGCUGACCCUUUCACACUCAGGUAAAGGGAUUAAAUCCAAAGGAGAGUUGGGAUUGAACCCAUAAACAAUUUCAAAAGGAGAAAACUUAGAAGUAGAAUGCACAGCAUGAUUGUAUGCAAAUUCACAAUGAGGCAAAUAGUCUUCCCAUGAUUUCAAGUUUUUCUUUAUGAAUGUACGCAAGAGUGUUCCAAGAGUCCUAUUAACUACUUCAGUUUGUCCAUCAGUUUGUGGAUGACAAGUAGUAGAAAACAAGAGUUUAGUACCUAGUUUAGACCAAAGAGUCUUCCAAAAAUAACUAAGAAACUUAGUAUCUCUAUCAGAAACAAUAGUCUUAGGCAUGCCAUGUAUGCGCACAAUCUCUUUAAAGAACAAGUUAGCAAUAUGCAAUGCAUCAUCAGUUUUGUGACAAGCUAUGAAAUGUGCCAUCUUUGAGAACCUAUCCACAACUACAAAGAUAGAAUCCUUUCCAGUCCUAGUUCUAGGCAAUCCAACAAUGAAAUCCAUAGAUAUGUCAUUCCAAGGAUGAUAAGGUAUAGGGAGAGGAGUAUACAAACCGUGAGACUGAACCUUAGACUUAGCUUGCUUGCAAGUUGCACAUCUCUCACAUAGUUUCUCCACAUCUCUUUUCAUCCGAGGCCAAAAGAAGUGAUCCUGCAAAGUUUUAAGAGUCUUUGCAACACCAAAGUGACCCAUGAGACUUCCUCCAUGAGAUUCCCUAACAAACAAGUCUCUCAAAGAACAGUUAGGCACACACAAUCGAUUAUCAUAGAAAAGAAAACCAUCAUGUCUAAAGUAGUGUCCUACAGCCAAUUUCUCACAAGAGUUGUAAGCCUCUCUAAAAUCAGGAUCAUUCUCAUACAUUCCUUUAAUCUGCUCAAAUCCUAAUAGCUUAGCAUCAAGAGUGUUCAAGAGAACAUACCUUCUGGAUAGUGCAUCAGCAACUAUGUUUUCCUUACCUUGUUUAUACUUGAUGACAUAAGGAAAUGUCUCAAUGAACUCAACCCACCUUGCGUGUCUCUUGCUGAGCUUGUUCUGUCCUUUGAGGUAUUUGAGAGACUCAUGAUCUGUGUGUAUGACGAAUUCUUUAGGCCAGAGAUAGUGCUGCCAAGUCUGCAAGGCUCUCACCAAGGCAUACAGCUCUUUAUCAUAAGUUGCAUAGUUGAGGGUAGCUCCUCCAAGCUUCUCACUGAAGUAUGCAAUGGGUCUCUUCUCCUGCAUCAAUACAGCACCAAUACCAAUUCCUGAGGCAUCACAUUCUAUUUCAAAAGUUUUAUGAAAGUCAGGAAGUAUAAGAAGAGGGGCAUGAGUAAGCUUCUCUUUAAGGCAUUGGAAAGCAAGUUCUUGUGCUUCUCCCCACUUGAAUCCGACUUCUUUCUUGAUUACUUCAGUCAAGGGAGAUGCAAUGGUGCUGAAGUCUUUCACAAAGCGCCUAUAGAAGCCAGCAAGUCCAUGGAAGCUUCUUACUUCACUCACGGUUUUAGGAAUUGGCCAUUCUUGUAUAGCCCUUACUUUCUCCGGAUCAACUUUAACCCCAUCUGCACCCACAAUAAAACCUAAAAAGACCAAGUUAUCUGUGCAGAAUGUACAUUUCUUAAGAUUAGCAUAAAGUUUUUCUUUCCUCAACACAUCAAGAACAGUCUUAAGAUGGUCUAUAUGCUCUUCUAGACUCUGACUGUAGAUUAGGAUAUCAUCAAAGUAAACUACCACAAACAAACCUAUAAAGGACCUAAGCACAUGGUUCAUCAAUCUCAUGAAAGUACUAGGUGCAUUAGUCAAUCCAAAGGGCAUAACUAACCACUCAUAUAACCCAUGCUUAGUCUUAAAGGCAGUUUUCCACUCAUCUCCUUCUUUCAUCCUAAUCUGAUGAUAUCCACUCUUUAGAUCUAUCUUAGAAAAGAUGCAUGAACCAUGUAAUUCAUCAAGCAUAUCAUCUAAUCUAGGAAUAGGAUGGCGAUACUUCACUGUUAUAUUGUUGAUUGCUCUACAAUCAACACACAUGCGCCAGCUUCCAUCUUUCUUGGGCACAAGCAGUACUGGAACAGCACAAGGGCUCAUGCUCUCUCGGAUAUGCCCUUUCUCCAUCAGUUCCUCUACUUGCCUUUGUAGUUCUUUGGUCUCAACCGGAUUGGUUCUGUAUGCUGGCCUGUUGGGAAGUGUAGAACCAGGCACAAAGUCAAUUUGGUGUUCAAUCCCUCGCACUGGUGGUAGUCCUUUGGGACUAUCUUCUGGAAAAACAUCUUGAUAUUCCUGCAAAAGAGACACAAGUUCACUCGGAUACUCCGGUGCAAUAUCAGUAGUAGUCAAGAGUGAUUCCUUAUAGAUAAACAAAAGAAUAGGAAGGUUAGAGCAGAGAGAUCUUUUAACAUCACCAGACUUGGCAUAGAAGUUUAGUUGCUUUGUUGAUUCAGCGGGUAGAUCAAUCUCUUUCUUCUUUUGUAGUUGGAGCUGAUCAACCUGAACUUCCUUAGGAGUCAUAGGCACAAGAACUGUCUUUCUCCCUUUAAACUCAAAGGUGUGCUUGUUGGCAUACCCAUCAUGUAUCACACGUCUAUCUGAUUGCCACGGCCUUCCAAGGAGAAUGUGUCCAGCUUCCAUAGGCAGUACAUCACAAAGAAUCUCAUCUUCAUAUUUACCAAUGGCUAAGGGAACCACAACCUGAGUAGAGACUCUCAUCUCGCCCUCUUCAUUGAGCCAUUGGAGCCUAUAUGGUUUAGGAUGCUUCUGGACCCUCAAACCCAACUUUUUAACCAUAGUCUCACUCGCAACGUUGACACAACUGCCUCCAUCCACAAUAAGACUACAGACCUUUCCUUGUACUAGACAUCUAGUAUAGAAGAGAUUCUCUCUUUGCUCCAUCUCUUCGGUCUUGCUUUGAAGACUCAAGGUUCUUCUAGCAACUAGCAACCUUCCAGCGACCGGGUUGGCAACAUACUCCUCUUCUGAACUGUGAUCUUCUUCGGCCUCUGUCUCCUCAUCAGUAGAUUCAUAUUCUCCAUUGUCAUGAAGGAUCAUCACACGUUUGUUGGUGCAUUCAUUAGCGUAGUGUCCUCUUCCUUGGCACUUAAAACACUUAACAUCUCUUGAUCUUGUAGUAGAGGCUUCAGCUUUCCCUUUAUCCUUGCUGAGGGAACUAGUAGGUUUGUCCUCAUCCUUUUGAUAUGACUUGCUCUCUUUCUGGUGACUUGGCUUAUCUUCCUUAGCACCUUGAUAUCUAGUUCCAUAGUUGCCUCGAGAGUGACCUUUUCUCUUUACUUGUUGUUCCACUAGAAUGGCUUUGUGUAGCAUCUCCUCCAUCUCCA